AAGGGUUUUGUGAUACGAGACUUGUGUCACUGAUAAUAAUCUUCGAAUUCGUACUGACAUGGCGACGUCCUCAAGCAGAAAGUCAAACAAUAUCGGAAAUUAUAUUAAAAAUCAACAAGAAAAUUCCAUUCAGGCAAUUUGUUAUUCUCCAAAGAGAUUGGAUGAGAAAAGGGCAGGCGACAAAAAACCUCUGCUCGUAGCCGAGUUUGAAUCAAAACAAGGUACUAGUA